CGGAGGUACUCGGGUGGCGAACGGGUGAGUAACACGUGGGUGAUCUGCCCUGCACUCUGGGAUAAGCCUGGGAAACUGGGUCUAAUACCGGAUAGGACCAUGCUUUAGUGUGUGUGGUGGAAAGUUUUUUCGGUGUAGGAUGAGCCCGCGGCCUAUCAGCUUGUUGGUGGGGUAAUGGCCUACCAAGGCGGCGACGGGUAGCCGGACUGAGAGGUUGGUCGGCCACAUUGGGACUGAGAUACGGCCCAG
rnacentral:rRNA from 1 species